ACGCUCGACACCUACGGGAGGCAGCAGUGGGGAAUAUUGCACAAUGGGGGGAAACCCUCGAUGCAGCGACGCCGCCGUGAGCGAAGAAGUAUUUCGGUUAUGUAAAGACUCUAUCAGCAGGGAAGGAAAGUAGACGGUAACCUGACUAAGAAGCACCGGCUAAAUAACGUGCCAGCAGCCACGGUAAUCUGAGCGGGCUGCAAGC
rnacentral:rRNA from 1 species